UAAAAGGCUAUGAAAGGGAGUAGUAUCCCCCGCCACCGGGCAAAGAGAGAGGACGUUUGGUGUGAGUCCUCACCGGAAGGGAGAGAAGGCACCCUCAAGCUGUGUAGCUGAGCGAAAGCAGGCUGCGCCGGUUCCGCCGUUAUCGGGUAAGAGUGCGCGCUGAUUAAGCGCGAAUUCAGGUGGUACCGCGGACAACUGUUCGCCCUGAGC
rnacentral:ncRNA from 1 species